AUUAGAGUAUGUUUCGACUUCUCGUGAAGUUGUCAGGAAAGUCACAAUUUUUAGUUCCCUUCCAUCCUCACCCUUACAGAAUAAGGAGCUUCUACACAAAUUAGGAGAAACAGGGGUUCACCUAGCCUCUUGCCCAUGAACCUCAGAGAUCUUUCUUUUUGCUAGGUAGGGACAAAGAAGAAAAAUAUGUUUUAUUUCGGCCAUUAAAACUUCACAUGUUUGGAAAAUGGCUCAUGCUUUAAUAAGGGACUUCCCGCUGAUUAUUUUCUGUCAUCAAUAUUCAGAAAACCCAACCAAAAAUAUUUCUGCGGAUCCGCAAAUAGACUGUUCUUUUAAGAUAUAUUUCCAGGGGAGACAGAGUAAGAUGGCUCCACCAAUUGUUCCCCCGACAAGGACACCAAUUUAACAAUCAUCUACACAGAAAAAACACCCUCGUAAGGAUAAAAAUCAAUACAUUUGCUCUUGGAUCCCAUCCACCACGCUGUGAGGAAGCCAAAUUACCUCAUGAAGAUGCCCUCAAGGAGCUGAACCAAAGGCUCUGGCCCAUAGCCUUACGGAUCUCCAAGUUGAAAGUCAGCACCAACCUGCUAGUCAUAAGAAUGUUCCUAAUCACUCCUCAUCCUCCUCCCUCCUGCCACACUGAACUUUUUAAUGUGCAGCAUACUGGAGAGAAAACGAGUACUUUGGUCAGACAAGGAAACAGAGCUGAACAUGGAAAAAAGAACCAUAUUCUAAUUUUAAAGAAAGUGGCUCCGCAGAAUCUUAGAUUUUCCAAGCUGUGGGGCCUUUAUUGUGCUAGGAAAAAAAAGGGAAAAUAAUACACAAAACUGAAUCUAUUAUAUUUUCCCUUAAUGGCAAAUCUUGAUAAAAGAAAAUGGAACUUUAGAAUGGAAGGAGCAUCUGGGCUCAUUUUCUAAUGAAAUAUCUUUACAAAUGAGAAACCUAAGGGUCAGAGAGAAAAUGUGACUUGCCCAAGCUCUCACAGCUUUCCAUGACAGAAGUAGAAUCUAAGUCUUGAUGCUUAUAUUUUAGUAUAACUAAGUCAGGUAAUAGCAGAGAACACUCAGAAACUUUAACAGUAUGUCAAUUUCUUGGACUAUAAUGUUGAUGACUGUUUUAGGAUUGAUUAUUUUAAAGAUACAGAAAUAUUUUUUCUGUCCUUUUUUUUGGCAACAACAGAGCGUGCUUUUUUCUCUCCUCAUUAUUCUGUGGGGAAAUUUUGUGAAAUUCUGUCCAGUAAAACUGACUGAGGCAGUUGGGAGAAUGACCACUGCCUUCAUGUAGUAACAGAAGCAAUAAUCUCUAGUGAGAAGACAAUUGGUUGCAGGCAAGUCUCACUGGUACUAUGAUAGGGGACCCAGAUACAUUAGAGAAAAGCAAAUUAACAUGACCCCCAGGUCUCUGGAGUCAUAUAAGACGCUAAGUCUAAGUCAUAUAAGUCCCUUAUAACUUCAUAGUCAUAAGGGACUUGAAGCCUAUGUGAGUUCAUUGUUAUGUGAUGGAGAGUGGAGCAAUGGAGCAAGGAAGAAUGAGUGGAAAACUGUUUGGUGUUUAACUAAUGUGCUCAUAGAAAACCUGAUAAUUUUUGGCUAGUUCAAAGUUGUGUCUGACCUGAAGCAACUGUUAUUGCCUACUGACUAGAGUUCUUUGUGGAGGUUAUAUGAUUCACUUGAAGUGUUUUCCAAUACCAAAUUGGUUAGCUAAUUUAAAUAAGGAACCAGAUAUGUUAUUUCUUCCCCAGACUUCUUUCAACAAAAGCUAAUUUUCUUUCCUUCCUCCUAUCCAAAACACAACUAAUAAAAU
rnacentral:lncRNA from 10 species